UUUCCUUUUUUUUUUUUUCUUACUUCUCAACGAAAUUGAGGUUUUAUAUAGAGUUUGGAUGACGAGAAAAAGGUAGAAAAUUGUAGAAACUAGAAUAUCAGAGUCUCAGAAACCUCAAUUCAGAAACCAACAUCAGCACUUCUGAGAAACUUGAGAUAUUUAAUGUUAAUGGCCAAAUCUGAAGAAAGCGAAAGAAUAUGAAAUAACAGUGCCUGCCUGGUGUUGAAACCUACAGUGAUGAAGGGCUUCGUUGAAAAAAGAUUGAGGUUUUGAGAGUGUUUGGACACUGAGAAGGAUGUGGGAUCUAUAAAAUCUGAAACUCUUGAGUUUGGAAAAGGAAAAAUGGCAAUGCAUAG
rnacentral:misc_RNA from 1 species